CAGGUUCCGGUUCACGCCCGAGCCGCCCGCUUGAUGAUCAAGGCGGCGCUGACGGCGACCCGGCGACC
rnacentral:ncRNA from 1 species